GUGCUUACUUUAGCAACACAUAUACUAAAACUGGAAUGAUACAGAGAAGAUUAGCAUGACCCCUGUGCAAUGAUGAGAUGCAAAAUUGUGAAGUGUUCCAUAUUUUU
rnacentral:snRNA from 1 species